rnacentral:rRNA from 1 species
CCUACGGGAGGCAGCAGUGGGGAAUAUUGGGCAAUGGAGGAAACUCUGACCCAGCAAUGCCGCGUGAAUGAAGAAGGUCUUCGGAUUGUAAAGUUCUUUAGUCAGGGAAGAAUAAAAUGACGGUACCUGAAGAAUAAGCUCCGGCUAACUACGUGCCAGCAGCCGCGGUAAUACGUAGGGAGCAAGCGUUGUUCGGAUUUAUUGGGUUUAAAGGGUGCGUAGGCGGAAUGCCAAGUCAGCGGUAAAAUCGCGGGGCUCAACCUCGCUCCGCCGUUGAAACUGGCGUUCUUGAGUGGGCGAGAAGUAUGCGGAAUGCGUGGUGUAGCGGUGAAAUGCAUAGAUAUCACGCAGAACUCCGAUUGCGAAGGCAGCAUACCGGCGCCCAACUGACGCUGAAGCACGAAAGCGUGGGUAUCGAACAGGAUUAGAUACCCCUGUAGUC